UACAGAGGGGGCAAGCGUUGUUCGGAAUUACUGGGCGUAAAGGGCGCGUAGGCGGCCUUCUAAGUCGAACGUGAAAUCCCCGGGCUCAACCCGGGAACUGCGUCCGAUACUGGAUGGCUUGAAUUCGGGAGAGGGAUGCAGAAUUCCAGGUGUAGCGGUGAAAUGCGUAGAUAUCUGGAGGAACACCGGUGGCGAAGGCGACAUCCUGGACCGGUAUUGACGCUGAGGCGCGAAAGCCAGGGGAGCAAACGGG
rnacentral:rRNA from 1 species